GUAGAUCACUUAAGAUAUGAAGAAGUGAUUGAUACCAUUUUCCAGAGACAAAUAUGAGUUGAUCUUCCCAAAAUGGCAUCACUAGCACCUACCACACAAUUUCACUAAUUUUGUUUUUCUUUCUUCAUGAAGUUGUGCACCAGAGACUUCUAGGUAGAGCUGAGAGACAAUAGUCCCGACAUACUAAGGAAUAUAUCCCCCCAAAAAAGCUGGUGCAAAUAUAUUUCUCCUUGGCUUUUCAGCACACUGACAAAUACUAUCAGCUGCCUGAAAUUCCCACCAUGCCUGGGAACCACUCCACUCCUCCAAGUCUUUCUGAAUCUGUUGUCACCAGGAAGCUACAUAAUCAUUUUCUAAACAUGAGACUUCAUCACCCAAGGAUGAAAACAGAAGCCAUAGUUCAGAGUCUGCUGCACCAGCCUGUUCAAAAUUACCUCCCCCUCCAACUUUCCACAGGUCUAAAAAGUCCUAAAACGCUUAAAUCUUUUCAAGAAUAAGGCAGAAUAUAAAGUAAAUGCAAACUUGGUGCUUUGGGCUGUGGUCUCCAAAGAUCUUGCAAGAACCCCCCCACCCUGCCAAGCCAGUCUCAUCCUUUCACCUUACUUAAAACAGAGACAUAGGACCCAGCAUGCAUUGCAAACACACCAACGCUUGUAGCCAGGGCAGACAUUGCUAAUCAAUCACAGCACAUCUUCCAAAGAGCCCAGGAUUCCCUCAGAAUCUUCAGACCAUAAGUCUGAAGAGCCACCAAUCAUCAGUUAAAAUUGAAAGAUAAAUGAUCCUUAAUUGCCAUCUCAACUUUAGAAAGCAAAAGUAAACAAGGAUUGUGUGGGGGGAUGGGGAAAAUAGAUCUAGGCAGAGUGCCUUAUUGGGGGACUACAGGCACUAAACGCAUUGCUGACACCAAACUGACGCUUCCCCAGGCAUACCUUGGGCCCUCCCUUCUUCCAGGUGUCAGAAUGUCGCAGCAACCUGCAGUGACAUUGCUGGACUCCAGAGACCCAUUCCAUAGGCAAAAGGGUUUCCCAGGCUCACAGCCCAGAGGCGUUGAGCCCCUGGCCACUGUUUUGACUGCUGGCGGUACAAAACAGUCCACCCCACACCACUGCCGCCUGGCUCACUGCGGCCAUCAAAAAGUUAAAGCCAAGAUGUUAACAUUGUGCAUCAAGACGGCAGGCAUAAGGUGAGAAUGUAACAUUCAAGAUCUCAACCAUACAUCAAUCAGAAGCCCCUGUGCAGUUUCCAAGAUGUUGUUUUG
rnacentral:lncRNA from 1 species